AUGCCAAUGUUAGGGGAUGGACAGUGGGUGGACAGUCUGAGAGGUUACCAAAGGACAAAAGGACAAACAGAUACUACUUCACUAGACUAUUACACUACACUACUUUAUUGUACUACCGUCAUCCCAAAUCCAGAAGAACUCAGAGGUCACCGUCUAUUAAAUAAUGUAUCCAGAUGUGACUAUUAUUCCUGUAUGGCAAAAGUUACAUGGAAAUUGGUUACUUUUAAUAGGAAGAAAAACUGUUAA
rnacentral:lncRNA from 13 species